rnacentral:rRNA from 1 species
CCUACGGGUGGCAGCAGUGGGGGAUAUUGCACAAUGGGCGAGACCCUGAUGCAGCGACGCAGCGUGAGUGAAGACGUAUUUAGGUAUGUAAAGCUCUAUCAGCAGGGGAGAAAAUGACAGUACCUGACCAAUAUGCUCCGGCUAAUUACGUGCCAGCAGCCGCGGUACUACGUCGGGGGCAAGCGUUAUCCGGAUUUACUGGGCGUAAAGGGAGCGUAGACGGUUAUGUAAGUCUGGAGUGAAAGCCUGGGGCCCAACCCUGGGAUUGGUUUGGAUACUGUGUACCUGGAGUACAGGAGGGGCAGGCGGAAUUCCUGGUGUAGCGGUGAAAUGCGUAGAUAUCAGGAGGAACACCGGCGGCGAAGGCGGCCUGCUGGACUGAAACUGACGUUGAGGCUCGAAAGCGUGGGGAGCAAACAGGAUUAGAUACCCGAGUAGUC